CAGAAAAAGCACCGGGCUAACUACGUGCCAGCAGCCGCGGUAAUACGUAGGGUGCAAGCGUUGUCCGGAAUUAUUGGGCGUAAAGAGCUCGUAGGCGGUUUGUCGCGUCUGCUGUGAAAUCUGGGGGCUCAACCCCCAGCCUGCAGUGGGUACGGGCAGACUAGAGUGCGGUAGGGGAGAUUGGAAUUCCUGGUGUAGCGGUGGAAUGCGCAGAUAUCAGGAGGAACACCGAUGGCGAAGGCAGAUCUCUGGGCCGUUACUGACGCUGAGGAGCGAAAGCAUGGGGAGCGAACAGGAUUAGAUACCCUGGUAGUCCAUGCCGUAAACGUUGGGAACUAGAUGUAGGGGCCAUUCCACGGUUUCUGUGUCGCAGCUAACGCAUUAAGUUCCCCGCCUGGGGAGUACGGCCGCAAGGCUAAAACUCAAAGGAAUUGACGGGGGCCCGCACAAGCGGCGGAGCAUGCGGAUUAAUUCGAUGCAACGCGAAGAACCUUACCAAGGCUUGACAUAUACCGGAAACGUCCAGAGAUGGUCGCCCCGCAAGGUCGGUAUACAGGUGGUGCAUGGUUGUCGUCAGCUCGUGUCGUGAGAUGUUGGGUUAAGUCCCGCAACGAGCGCAACCCUCGUUCUAUGUUGCCAGCACGUUAUGGUGGGAACUCAUAGGAGACUGCCGGGGUCAACUCGGAGGAAGGUGGGGAUGACGUCAAAUCAUCAUGCCCCUUAUGUCUUGGGCUUCACGCAUGCUACAAUGGCCGAUACAAAGGGCUGCAAUACCGUAAGGUGGAGCGAAUCCCAAAAAGUCGGUCUCAGUUCGGAUUGAGGUCUGCAACUCGACCUCAUGAAGUCGGAGUCGCUAGUAAUCGCAGAUCAGCAACGCUGCGGUGAAUACGUUCCCGGGCCUUGUACACACCGCCCGUCAAGUCAUGAAAGUCGGUAACACCCGAAGCCGGUGGCCCAACCCCUUGUGGGAGGGAGC
rnacentral:rRNA from 1 species